AACAACUCACCUGCCGAAUGAAUCAGCCCUGAAAAUGGAUGGCGCUUAAGCGGGCGACCGACACCAUGCCGUCUGUAUAAGAGUAAUUUUACAGAUGAGUAGGAGGACGUGGCGGUUGUGUCGAAGCAUGCGUGCGAACGCGUGUGGAACGGCCGCUAGUGCAGAUCUUGGUGGUAGUAGCAAAUAUUCAAGCGAGAUCCUUGAAGGGCGAAGCGGGGAAGGGUUCCACGCAAACAUUGAUUGGGCGUGGGUGAGUCGUUCCUAAGCCGAGUGGCAAUUGCUAAGUAGCGGCGAAAGGGAAGCAGGUUGACAUUCCUGCACACGGAUGUGGAGGCGGUGACGCUUUAAUGAGGGCGAAGACGCUGGCGAUGGCGCUGGGCAGAGAUUUCUUUUCUGUUUAACCGCUGAAGCGCGCGGUGUGGAAUCCGCUUGUCGGGAGAAACACGCUCGUUCGGGCAGAGCGCCGGGGCUAUUCCGGCGUCCAGCUCGCCAUCGACGGCCCUUGAAAAUUUGCCUGCUGGAAUAGUUUUUUUAUAUUCUAUAAAGAUCCACGCCGUGGCGUACCGAUAACCGCAUCAGGUCCCCAAGGUGAACAGCCUCUGCUCUAUAUGAAUAAU
rnacentral:rRNA from 1 species